rnacentral:rRNA from 1 species
UACGUAGGGGGCGAGCGUUGUCCGGAUUUAUUGGGCGUAAAGAGCUUGUAGGCGGUCGGUCGCGUCUGCUGUGAAAAUCCGGGGCUCAACCCCGGACUUGCAGUGGGUACGGGCAGACUAGAGUGUGGUAGGGGAGACUGGAAUUCCUGGUGUAGCGGUGAAAUGCGCAGAUAUCAGGAGGAACACCGAUGGCGAAGGCAGGUCUCUGGGCCACUACUGACGCUGAGAAGCGAAAGCAUGGGGAGCGAACAGG